GGAUGUGAGGGCGAUCUGGCUGUGACAUCUGUCACCCCAUAGAUCGCCAGGGUUGAUUCGGCUGAUCUGGCUGGCUAGGCGGGUGUCCCUUUCCUCCCUCACCGCUCCAUGUGCGUCCCUCCCGAAGCCGUUCAUAUUCUUAAGCUUUUAGUAAGGCGUGGUGACAAAAAUAUGGCACACUUUUCACAUGAAGUUUCUUCAUCUUUAGGAGAUGGGUUUUAUUAUUUGCUAUAGAAUUGGAAACUGAAGCUCCAAGGAGUGACCUGCUUGCUCUAAGCAACUCUGUAUAAUCACCCAAGAAAGGUGUCAGUAGUAGGCUAAGCUU
rnacentral:snRNA from 1 species